CAUUAAUGAGCUCGCUGUGCGUAAGAAGCGUUGUUGUCCCCAAGACGGAAGGCAGGUUUGCUUGACGUCCGAAGCGUGAGCCCUUUCGAGCGAGCCGUUUCUUUGUGGAUGAAAAGCCGUUGUCUUCACAUGUUUGAUUUGGAAGAGAUUCUCGAAAUCUUGUAUGAGAUUUGAUAUGAAAUUAGCACCUUGGUCGCCAAUGGUAUCAAUGCAAGAUAUUUAUCAACGUAUCUUGGAUGCUCAGAAUGUAUUUGUUGCCUCUGCAGGAGAUGGGCAAUGGUCCAAAAAUAUCCAUUGCUAUCUUUUUAUUUGGUUCCACCGCAGUGUCAGGGAUCACUGCUUCUAAACGUGACCAAAUACGCGUUAAC